rnacentral:rRNA from 1 species
CCUACGGGAGGCAGCAGUGAGGUAUAUUGGUCAAUGGGCGCGAGCCUGACCCAGCCAAGUAGCGUGAAGGAUGACUGCCCUACGGGUUGUAAACUUCUUUUAUAAAGGAGUAAAGUGAGGCACGUGAGCCUUUUUGUAUGUACUUUAUGAAUAAGGAUCGGCUAACUCCGUUCCAGCCGCCGCGGUAAUACGGAGGAUCCGAGCGUUAUCCGGAUUUAUUGGGUUUAAAGGGAGCGUAGAUGGGUUGUUAAGUCAGUUGUGAAAGUUUGCGGCUCAACCGUAGAAGUGCAAUUGAUACUGGCAGUCUUGAGUACAGUUGAGGAAAGCGGAAUUCGUGGUGUAGCGGUGAAAUGCGUAGAUAUCACGAAGAACUCCGAUUGCGAAGGCAGCUUUCUAAUCUGCAACUGACAUUGAUGCGCGAAAGUGUGGGUAUCAAACAGGAUUAGAUACCCUAGUAGUC